rnacentral:misc_RNA from 1 species
UCAAACUUGGUCAUUUAGAGGAAGUAAAAGUCGUAACAAGGUUUCCGUAGGUGAACCUGCGGAAGGAUCAUUAUUGAAUAACCUAACUCGAUGGGUUGUCGCUGGCCCCUUGGGGCAUGUGCACGCCUGUCUUGACUCUAUUCAUCCACCUGUGCACUUAUUGUAGUCGUCCAAGGAAGCGGGUUUCCAUUCAGUUGAAACAUACUGGAUUUGAGGAUUGCCCUGUCGGCUUUCCUCUGUCGAUCCUGUGGAAUCGGAGACUACGUCUUUUUUUCAUAUACCACGUAGUAUGUUGCCAGAAUGUCAUAAAUGGGCCUAUGUGCCUAUAAAACCAUAUACAACUUUCAGCAACGGAUCUCUUGGCUCUCGCAUCGAUGAAGAACGCAGC